rnacentral:misc_RNA from 1 species
AAGUCGUAACAAGGUUUCCGUAGGAAUCUGCGGAAGGAUCAUUAACACGUAUCCAAACGUUAAACCCCCCUGUGAACCUUCAGUGUACUCGUAUCCCUGGUAAAUCAUCGCCGAACAGUUUUCGAUUCAGGGACGUCUGCAAGGAGCGUGCAUGUUGUGCGAAGCAAGUGGCCUGGCAUCCCCAAGCAGUUAGUGUCUGAAAGUGUCAUUAACUGUGUAAGGAUGACGCAGUCACGAUCGUUGGAGGCCCACGGCCGACGACCGGGUCACUGCAAGCCCCUAUAACAAACGCUGCCAAUCGCGGCCGCGAUAAUACGCAGUCGAGAACAACUGCGAACAAUGGAUAUCUUGGCUCUC